CAAAGAGCACAGGAUGGAAAAGGAGGAGACUUCAUGGUGGACAAACCUGACAAACCCUACCUGUGCCAGGUGGUCAAGUUCAAUAUCAAGAGUGCUAAGUUGCCAUACAGUUAUGUGUUCUUGCUAUGAUGUGAUAAGAAUUAUAGCUUACCUCCAUGGUCUUCCUCUCCAAAAUCUCAUAACCCCACCAUAAGAAAAAUACCAGACGCACUCCAACUGAGCAACCUUCUGCAAAAUGCAUGACAAGUACUCCCCUAAACUAUCAAAAAAGCUGUCAUUCAAAACAUAGUCAAGAGACUGUGACUGCUUUUGAUUCUGAAAAACUUUCAGAGUCAAGAGGACCUGCAGGGAACAGGAUAAUUAAAUGCAAUGUGAUAUCUUGGAUGGGAUCCUAAAACAGAGAGAAAAUGAGAUGCUACUGGCUUUUGGAUGCUUCAAACUGAGGAAAGGAGAGAGGAUAAAAAGCAGGUGAAGGAAGAUGCACUAACAGUAUGAGCCAAUGAAGUGUUUGGAAUAAGAAAGCCCCUCAGACUUGGGCCUAGAUACAAGCAGGAAGAACAAGGAGGAAAGAAGCACAAGCAAAAGUCAGGCUCAAGGAAAAGACUGCAUGAUUCAAAGAGAUUACAAGACAAUACCUGGAAAUGGAAAGCAAGGAAGUAUAAAGUAACAAGUAUUACAGAGAUGACAGAGGACACUAGAAGCACCAGCAAAUAAAGCAAGUAUAGGGCCGGGGAUUUAGCUCAGUGGUGCCACCGCCUGCCUCGCAAGAGCAAGGUCCCCAGUUCGAUCCAAUACCAAAAACAAAACAAAACAAAAAAAAGAGCAAAGAUCCCUAAGUCCUUUCCUCUUGGCCUCUCAAUUCAAUCUCACAAUGAGGAAAGAGAAAAGACAUAGAAAUUAUUAGGGAGAAUAUAUGAAUAUAUGACACAGCGAUCCAACAUAUAGGCAGAUGAAACCCUGGAGGUGGGUUUCAAAUCAUGAGUCCACCUCCUACCAAUUGUGCCUUGUUACCAAAGAUGAUG
ensembl:lncRNA